UUCCGGCGGUGAUCAGGAAGACCGCCGCCUUCCUAGACCGGCGCCUCACCGACGAUCAGGUCUCGCGCACAGCCGAACACUGCAGCUUCCGCAGCAUGCGGGAUAACGCGGCGACCAACUACGGCUGGAUGAAGGACAUGGGUCUCUUCAAGAAGAACAGCGAGAACUUCAUACGAGAAGGUAAGGUGGGUGGCUGGAAGGCGUACUACACGGCAGAGAUGUCCGCUCGCGUCGACCAACUCUCACGUGACCAUCUCCAACCACACGGCCUCACCUUCGACUACGAGUGAGCGCGCGCCGGCGCUCCCUGGUGGGCCCGUCAUUGUGGACGGAAGCGUUACGAGUCGUCGCGGAAACGGGAUCGGGGCGGCGAUGGGUGGCGCCGCCUGGGUGUAGGUUUUUUUCGGCAUAGUUAGCAUGUCUUAGCCUUUAUGUUAGCCAGUGUGCGUGCGUGUGCGUGCGUGCGUGCGCAUGCGUGCGCGCGCGUGUGCGUGCGUGCCUGCGUGCGUGCUUGCGUGCGUGCGCGCGUGUAUGCUUGCGUGUGUGCGUGCGUGCGUGUCUCAUCACAUGCAUGUGAGAGACAGUGAUAUAUAGAUACGGGUCAAUGGCGGGUGUCGUAAUAAAAGGUGGAGAGAUUGAUUAAAGCUUCGA